rnacentral:lncRNA from 1 species
AUUCUCUUUCUCCAUUUCUACCACACAACCACCCAUCCUUUCUUCUUCCCUCUUUCUAUUUCGUUCUCUACUAUGAUCCUCUCUUAUAUGCUGCUUUAAUUUUGCCAAAAAAAUUUCGUUGAUGACCAUCCCAAAGAUCCUUACCUUUUGUUUGUGUGUUAAUGUAUGUAUAUAUAUAAAUAGAGAGGAGAGUGAGUUUGUACUUGUGGGCUUUGUUUUGCAUCUAAUUGAAAUAGAAGAAAUUGGAUUUUGGGAUGGGAAUAAUGGUGUUAUGAGAGAGGGAAGAGAAGCAGUGGAACUGAAACUAGAAGAAGAAACGCAGCCAUAGGAUCAGAAAGAAAGAAGGGAAAAGUAAUAGCUAACAUGAUGUCUUUUUGAGCCAGAUGUUCUUUGGGCCAGAAUUAAAUUGUAAUUGCAAACACGUUUUAGCAUUUCUUUCACGCGCUAGGAGGAAAAAAGGAGCAGAUAGUUGGGAUGUGUGAUUACUCAUCUUCUUCUCCAAGUUUCUUCCUCUCAAUCCCCUAUUUUCUUCUUCAUCUAAUUUCAGUUGUAUUAUGUUCAGUUUAUUACAAUUAAUUCAGUGGGUAUUUUAUAUUCCAUAUGCUGUGUUUGAUCAUUGAACUGAGUGAGAUUGAGGAAUUGUUAAGGUUGAAUCAUUACAUUUGAUAUCAGAGCAAUAAGUGAGCUGGAAAAAUGGAUACCCAUAACAAAACCCAUGAAGAGUAAGUUAAAAGGAUUGAGAAAGAUCUGGGAGUUCUUAGCGUGGUUUACUAGAGUACAGACCAAGAAGUGAAACAUCUCUGUAGUAGGCAAGAUAAAUUGGAAAGUCUGAUGAUGGAAAUGAAUAGUAAAUAUGAAAAUAUUGUGGGCAUGAUGGCCAAGAUGAUUGAAGGGACAUUGAACUCUGGUGCAGGAAAUUCCUCAACUCAAGGGAAUGGUAAAGGGAUUCAAAUAGAAGAACACCAAAGUCCAGCUUUGUCUAGUGGUGGGUUAUUAAGUCCUGGGAUAGGAAACUUACCUACGCAGGGGAGUGGUAAGUUUGAUUACCGGUGAAUACUAAAAUCCUAAAGAUAGAUUUUCCUUACUUUAGUAGAGAAGGGCCUAGGGAGUGGUUAAGGAAAGCUAAAAAGUACUUUCAGACUCAUCAAGUACCCGAGGAGAUGAGGGUGAGCAUAGCAGAGAUAUACCUAAAGGGAAAAGCUGAUAUAUGGUACCAUGGAUUCAUAACUAGCCACCCAGAUGCUGAUUAAGGAUCAUUCUUCAUUAAAAUUUGUAGAAGGUUUGCUGAAAUACUGAAGAAGUGAUUGAGUUACUCAGCAAACUCAGAUAAAAGGGAGCCAUCACUGAAUAUCAGGAGCAAUUUAAAGAAUUGAAGUCACAGGUGAUGUUGUCCUUACCUCACGUACCAGAGUUUUAUUACAUAUCAAUCUUCAUAAGUGGCCUUAAAGUGGAGAUCAAAUCCAUGGUGAAAAUCAUUAAACCUACAACCCUAGCUAAGGCGUUUGAGAAAGCUAUCUUACAAGAAAACACUAUCACAUCAUUGAGCAAGGGAACCAAGCCAUAUAGACCUUUUACUCGGACCAAAUGGAACCACCCUAUUACCAAAUCAAAUGAUCCUACCUAUAAGCCCACUCUAUAUACAGAUUCCAACCAUAAAAAUCCAAGCAGCCCUCUAAAGUUUAAAGCAAUCACUCCUACAAAUUUUCAGACCAAAAGGAAAUUAGGUCUAUGCUACAAAUGUGAUGAAAAGUAUACACGUGACCAUGUAUGUAAAAAUAAGAUGUUGAAUUUCAUACUGGUGGAUGAUGAGAGUAAGGAGGACUAUGAGGAAUCACUGAAUGAUGGAGAGGAACACGAAGUGAAAGAAGAAAUAGAUGGAGUAAUGGAGAUCUCCCUCCAUGCCUUGGUAGGUAGCAAUAGAACCAAAACCAUCAGGCUACCAGGAAGCAUCAAAGGCAGAAAGAUUUCUAUACUAAUUGAUAGUGGGAAUACCCAUAGUUUUAUUGAUGAACAGCUAGCCAGAGCUCUCAACUAUAAGAUGCAACUAGUUAAGCCUGCAUCAGUAAUAAUAGCUGGUGGAGAAAAACUGAUUGGCCAUGCAAUAUGUAAUUCCUUGAUUUGGAAGAUGCAAAAUCUGGAGUUUCAAUACCAGUUUAAGGUUCUCAAAUUAGAAAGGAGUGAUAUGGUAUUUGGGGUUGAUUGGCCGAGUUAGUUCAAUCCUGUACUUUUUGAUUUUUGCAAAGGGAGCAUAAGAUUCAUCCAUGGAGGCACUGAUUUGGAACUAAGCACUGAAGCCAUGAAGGAAGAGUUCCAAAUGAUGACUAAAGUGGAAGAAGGGAACUGGGGUAGGAGUCAAUCCUAUGGUAUGAUAACACAAAUUGACAUUAGUAAUGAAAGGAAACCAGAGAGUGUUCCAGCUGAAGUACAUGCCAUAAUAGACAACUUUUCACUGGUUUUUUAAGAAUCGAAGGGCUUACCUUCGCCUAGAUUCAAUGACCACCAUGUACCAAUUAAAGAAGGAACAUAAACCUUCAAGCUCAGGCCCUACAGGUGUCCUUAUAUACAGAAGGCAGAAAUUGAAAGGAUGGUCAAGGAAAUGAAGGAGAAUGGAAUAAUCCAACCAAGUAACAGCCCGUAUGCCUCCCUUGUAUUGUUAGUCAAGAAAAAAGAUGGAACUUGGAGAUUUUGUGUAGACUGUAGGCAACUAAACAGCCUAACCAUCAAAGAUAAGUAUCGCAUGCCUUUGAUUGAUGAGUUAUUAGAUGAAUUAAAGAGAGCAAAGUGGUUUACAAUGAUAGAUUUAAGGGCAGGGUAUCACCAAAUCAGGGUGGCUGAGGAAGACAUUCACAAAACAGCCUUCAAAACACAUGAGGGGCUUUAUGAAUUUAGAGUGAUGCCCUUUGGGCUCACCAAUGCCCUUGCUACUUUCCAGUGUUUGAUGAAUGAGGUCUUCAAGGAACAACUUAUGAGGUAUGUUUUUGUUUUCUUUGAUGACAUAUUGAUUUAUAGCACUAGUUUGGAUGUCCACUGUAAACAUGUAUUUGAGGUCCUGGAACUACUAAAGAAGCACCAACUCUAUGCUAAAGGAAGUAAAUGCUCAUUUGGACAACUUAAGACAGAAUAUCUGGGGCAUGUCAUUACUAUAGAAGGGGAAUGUGUAGACCUUUCCAAAAUUGCUGCCAUGCAAGAAUGGCCUACACCAAUGAAUGUUAAGCAACUGGGAGGAUUCUUAGGGCUAACUGGUUGCUACAGAAGAUUUUAAGAGGUUAUGGAGCUAUGGCUAGACCCUUGACUGAUCUCCUGAAGAAGGAUAACUUUCAGUGGAAUGAGGCUGCUGAUAUGGCAUUUCAAGAAUUGAAGAUCGCAAUGAGUACUACCUCAGUGUUGAUCCUUCCAGAUUUUUCCAUGCCUUUUGUGAUUGAAACGGAUGCGUUCAUGGUAGAAUGGGGGCUAUUCUAAUGCAGAAUAAGAGACCAAUUGCCUAUCUGAGUAAAUGGAUCAACAACAAAAACUUGGGGUUGUCCAUUUCUGAAAAGGAACUCCUAGCAUUGGUGACAACAGUGGGAAAAUUGAGACAUUAUCUGGAGGGACAUCAUUUUAUCAUAAAAACUUAUCACCAAUCUCUUAAAUACUUGUUGGAGCAAAGGAUCACAACACCAUUGCAACAGAAGUGGUUAACUAAAUUGUUGGGGCUUAGUUAUGAAAUUCAAUAUAAAAGGGAAAUCGAUAACAAAGUGGCUGAUGCACUGUCCAGAAGGGAUAACACUAAUGUUAAUGAAUGUUUGGCUAUAACUACUAUGACACCAGCCUAGAUUUAGGAAGUAGGUACCAGUUACUAAGAGGAUGAAGAAGCUAGAAGAAAAAUCGGUGCAUUACUUCUUGACAAGAAAUCAGAACCUGACUAUACCUACAUGAACGAGUUACUCAAGUACAAGUCUAAAAUCUAUAUUUGCUCUGGAACAGAGGUGAGGAAGAAACUAAUUAGGGCCAUUCACUCAUCCCAAGAAGGGGGACACUCAGGGGUUCAAGCCAGCAUACACAGAGCUAAAUCUCACUUCUUUUGGCCUGGAAUGGUGAGGGAGAUCAAACAUGAAGUCUUGGAAUGUGAUCCACGCCAAAGAUGUAAAGAAAAGCAUGUUGCAUACCCUGGUCUAUUACAGCCACUGCCUGAACCAAAGUAUGCCUGGAGCCACAUAUCUAUGGAUUUUAUUGAAGUAUUACCUGCCUCUGGAACAAAGAAUGCCAUAUUAGUUGUAGUUGAGAUUCACUAAGUAUGGUCAUUUCCAAACCCUAUCACACCCUUUCUCUACUAUCACUGUAGCAAAGUUAUUCCUAGAUAGCAUGUAUAAACUCCUUGGUAUGCCACAAAGCAUAAUUUCAGAUAGAGAUAAGGUAUUCACAAGUGUUUUCUGGUAUGAACUAUUCAAACAAUUGGGGACCAAGCUACAAUUAAGCUCUACUUAUCACCCACAAACUGAUGGCCAGACAGAGACUUAAUCAAUGUUUGGAAAUGUACCUUAGAUGCAUGGUUCAUAGGCAGCCCAAACAGUGGUGUAGAUGGGCUAGUUUAGCUGAAUGGUGGUACAACACCACCCUGCACACCUCUAUCAAGAUGACCCCAUUUGAAGCUCUCUAUGGCAUUAAACCACUUCAGCUAGCACUAGGUCCAUACCAGCAAAUCAAUGUGGUAGCAGUGGAUAAAUUGUUACAAGAAAAGCGUAGAAUGGAUCAAACUCUUAGAGAAAAUGAUGAGGACAUCUACUUUUUAUUUAUUUUUAGUUGGACUUUAUUUAUGUUUUAGAUUUUAUUUAUGUAAUUGGACUUGUGUUUGGCCUUGUGUUGGCCCAAGCCCAUUCUACUUAGGGUUUUAGUUUUUACUAUUUAAACCUAAUUGCGAUGUAAUUCCAUUAGUUUUGAUGAAUUGAAGAAUAUUUUAGUGGUUUGUUGCCUAUGGCUUCUCCUUCCUCUCUCUCCCCCUCUCCCCCAUGAAUUUCUACUUCUUCUCCAGCUUCUCCCCCCAUUCUCUCCGGUUCUCCCCUCUUUCUUUCUUGCUUCUUCUUUCUAUUUUUUAAUUCGUCCUGCAUCAAAUUUGGUAUCAGAGCCGAACCUUGGAUAAUUUCUUUUCUUUAAUCCAAAAUUUCUUCAUAUUUCCUUCCCAAAAACUUGUGGAACAGUACAAAAAAAAAUUGUUGUGAGGCAGCAGUUUUCUUGUUCAAUUUUCUUUCUAGUUGAUUAGGAAAAAAAAAAUUCACUGUUCACACCUGGAAUUUCAGUUUUUUUAGAUUUUUCAGCAGUUUCCAAAAGAAAAAUUACUGUUCAUCGCGGGUACUGUUCACCUAGAACUGUUCACGGGUACUGUUCACGUCUAAAAAAAAAAUAUCGUCUUUUCUUUUCCUUAUUGCUGCUGCUCAUAAAUUAAAAAAAAAAAAAAAUUGUGGUGUUGUUCCACAAAUCCCAAACGCUAGCAUUCAAGCCCAUUUAGCCCAACUAACCCAGCCUACUCUCUACGACCUAGACCCACUCUCCAAACACUAACCCCAGCUGGCCCAUCUAUAUAACAGGAUCCAAACUCCUUCCCAUCUGACCCAAUUCCAAAUAUCCAACCAAGCCCGAUUAUAACCAAUCCAUUAACAUCAAAUACCCCAUAGUUUCACCCGAUUCCUCUCUCACAGCCACUCUCUUGUCGCUGCCGCCUUUAAUCACCAUCACGCCACCACUUCAUUAUCUAUUGUACUCAGGCAUCCAGAGCACUACCGCUUCAUCGCCAUAGCCCACCACCACCAACCCAAGAACAUACGCUUCCACCACAAUUACCACACUCAUAUAUUUCUUCAUCCAUUUCAACAAUCUAAAAGCUACAGUCACCACACACAAUUUUACGUCCACACCAGAACCAGUACAAGUUAUAGUCAACAGGAGCUAAAACCAUUGGACAUGAAGGGAAGAACAUAAACAUAGUUGGGGCUCAUAAGUCGGCAAUUCAGAUCAAUCGGCAUACAAAUAAUCAAAACUAAACAACAGGGAGUCCUUGAUCUCUAUUAGUAUUGGUUUAUACUACUGCUUCAUUUUUAAAAUUGCAUCAAUUAAAAUCUUGUGCUGCUGUUAUCGUGAUAAUUUUAGCCUUAAACCCCACUUGAUCGAAACCAUUAAUCGAAUUGACACCAGCGACCGAAUUGACUUCCAUUGUUCGAAUUUGACUAAUGUGUUCACCCUUGCUUUGCCAUUUUACAUGUACCAGCAGUAUUAGCUUGUUUUGGAUUUAAUUAAUCCCAAUAUUUAAAAUUAAAUUAAAAAAAAUUUGGUACAAGUUAUUUUCAAUUGCUUGCACGUAUUGUUCACUGAUCUCAUCAUAGCACAUCAUUUAGCUGGUAUUACAUUGCAUGUAGUUGCGUAGUGGUCGUCUUGUCAUCUCUAUUUCCAAUGCAUUGACCAUGGAUUCAUCCCAAUUUGAUGCACUAACUAGACAAUUAGCGCAACUUGCCACUAGCCUAUCGACUGUCCAAUCAGAUAUAACUGCUACUCGUGAGGAGAGAAAGACCCUAGCUGCUAAGUUGAGCAAUUUUAAGCGAAACCCUCGUUUAACUGACACUAAUUUUGAAGCGUCUCAUAAUAGACAAUAUCAUCGUGGACAAAGUAAUCAAGAAUAUUUUCGACGCGAUCGUAGGAAUAGGGAUCAAGUUUGUAAGCGAGAACAAGGCCAUGGUCAUCAUGGUACUCGUUCUCUUCCUCGUCGUAAGGAGCGUUUCUUUAGAGACAUUGAUUUAGAUACUCCUACCUUUGAUAGUUGCUUAGAUCAUGAAAUUUUUACCCAAUGGAACACCCUUACAUAAGGGAUCAGCUAGUGAUUGAGUACAUUGUUCAAUUUGAGGAAUUUCGAGUGAAAUGUCAUGUCGUUGAGAAUGAGGCCCUGACUUUAAGUAGGUUUAUACAAGGUCCAAGAGAUGAACUUAGGCGCGAACUUUUCUUUCAAGGCAUCACUACUCUUAAUCAAGCUUACUCUUCAGAUCGGGACUACGAGUUACUUAUUAGUUCUCCAUAUGAAAAGUGCGACCACCAUCGUUCUCCCAUGUCAUUAGCGCCACCUCAACACGAGUCUGUCAUAGAGCCUUCCUCAUCUAGUGUUCCUCCCAUUUGGAAAAACAAGUGUAAAGGUCGUGAUAGCCCAAGGUCGUCUUCUUCAUGUAGAAAGCGUAAUGACAAUCAUCCUUUGGUUUCAUUGGCUCCACUUCCUCUUGUUAAGUCCCUUCUAGGACCUCCCCCGUCUAGUGUUCCUCCUAUUUGGAAGUCCAAGGACCCAUUCUCCUUAUAGAAGGCGUAUUGACAACCAUUCAUCUGUUUCAUUAGCUCCACUUCUUCCCGUUAAGUCUCUUCUAGGACCUCUCCCGUCUAAUGUUCCUCAAAUCUUGGAAAAUAGGGGUAAUUUUUUUGAAAUUCCAAGGACUUCUUCUCACCUGCUAUGCAUUAGCUGUAAGGACUUUAGCCACAUCUCUUCCAAAUGUCCUAACCGAACAUUAGUCAUAGAAGAACGAAAGGAUGUAAUAGAAGAGUCGUUAAAAGAUCAUAUUUAUGAACCUAAAUUUGAAGAAUGUGAUGACUUGAACGAUAUUGAGGACAUUUCCUUAUGUAGUAUCAGGACUUUUCCUAUGAAUCUAGGGUUUGUACCCCUUGUUCCCGAUACCCCUCAGUUAAAUGUUGUGUGUCAUACUCUGUGCCAACCCAAAGGUACGGAUGAUUUGUGUAAUCAUGUCAUUUUCAAGGAAAAUCUUGAGAAUUGAGAUUUGAUCCUCCCAACAAUUUAAAUUGCAUAUAACACUUUUGUGCAUCGGUUUAUAGGUAUGAGUUCCAUCGAAGUUAUUCAUGGUUGUAAGUCUAGGAAACCUUUAGACCUUAUUCCAAUGUCUCCACAUACUAGUAUGUCUAUGUCAGCUGAGGCAUUUGUACGUCAUCUUCAUGACUUGCAUAUUGAGAUCAAUAAAUAACAUGACGCAAGUAAUGCAUUAAAUAAACUUCAAGCUGAUUUGCAUAAACGAUAUUUUGAAUUUAAUAUUGGGGAUUAUGUUAUAUUGCAAGCUUGUAGUGUUGGUCCUUUAAAAAUUUUAAAGCAUGUUGGUUCAAAUGCACAUGUCAUUAUCCUUUCAUCACAUUUUGGCUACCAUUCUACUUUAAAUAUUGAGAACUUCAUUACUUACAAACACCAUGUUACUUCCUUUGAUGAUCUAUUUCUACUUAGCUUUAUGGACCUCCAACUUGACUAUGUCGAUAUUUCUACUUUAAUACCAUCUAUCACAGCACACAAAGAUAAAAUUGAUGUUAUUUUAGAUGAACGUGUUGUAUUGACCAAUGAUGGCAAGAUUCGGUACUUCCUUGUUUGUUGGGUAGAUCAACGUGCUUCUUAUGCUUCUUAUUAUAUACACUCAUGUGAAAAUCUUGAAGAUGAGGUGCAUGAGUAUUGAUUAUUUGGAGUCCAGUAUCAGUACUUGGUUAGAAGGAAAGAUCGCCUCCCUUGGUCAUAUCUUAUUCUUGGGAAUAAGCUACAGUUUUCAGUACUAUCAAUCAUGGAAUUUCGUUACUUGGUUCGUCAGAAAGAUCGUCCCCCGUGGUUUGACUUGAAGCAUUUGAAGUAUCAGAUUGAUUGCAGUCUAUACUAUCUAUCAACUCGACAGGGUCGAGUUUUUUUCCCACCCCAGGAGAGUUGAUGAGAACAUCUACUUUUUAUUUAUUUUUAGUUGGACUUUAUUUAUGUUUUAGAUUUUAUUUAUGUAAUUGAGCUUGUGUUGGCCCAAACCCAUUCUACUUAGGGUUUUAGUCUUUACUCUUUAAACCUUAUUGUGAUGUAAUUCCAUUAGUUUUGAUGAAUUGAAGAAUAUUUUAGUGGUUUGUUGCCUAUGGCUUCUCCUUCCUCUCCCUCCCCCUCUCCCCCAUGAAUUUUUACUUCUUCUCCAGCUUCUUCCCCCAUUAUUUCCGGUUCUCCCCUCUUUCUUGCUUCUUCUUUCUAUUUUUUAAUUCGUCCUGCAUCAGAAAAUAUGGCACAAGCUAGAACCAGGAUGAAGUUCUAUGCUGAUAAACACACAAGUGAAAGGAAGUUUCAACUUGGGGAUUGGGUAUACCUCAAGCUCCACCCUUAUGCUCAACACUCAGUGAUUAAAAGGGUGAACAGAAAAUUGGCUGCCAAGUAUUUUGGACCAUAUAAAGUGAUUCAAAAAGUUGGGAAAGUUUCUUACAAACUUGAGCUACUUGCUGGAGCACAGAUUCAUUCAGUCUUUCAUGUCUCAUUAUUGAAAAAGAAAAUUGGAAAAAAGGAAGUCCCCGUAUUGGCAAUUCCAGAACAGGUUCACACUAAUAGUCCUCUUUUUUCUGAACUUUGGGGACAAGGUUGGUCUAAGGGGGAGGGAUGUUAUUAGAGAGAGGAAAAGCAGUGGAAUUGGAAACAGAAGAAGAAACGCAGUCACAGGAUCAAGAAUGAAGAAGGGAAGAGUAACAGCUAACAGGAUGUCUUUUUGGGCUAGAUGUCUUUUGGGCCAGAAUUAAAUUGUAAUUGCAAGCAUGUUUUAGCAUUUCUUUCACGCUUUUUCUCUGUCAUAUCAAACAGAGCUAGGAGGAAAAAAGGAGCAGAUAGUUGGGACGUGUGAAUACUCUUCUUAUCCAAGUUUCUUCCUCUCAAGCCCCUAUUUUCUUCUUCAUCUGAUUUCAGUUGUAUUAUGUUCAGUUUAUUACAAUUAAUCCAGUAGAUGUUUUAUAUUCCAUAUUCUGUGUUUGAUUAUUGAAUUGAGUGAGAUUGAGGAAUUGUUAAGGUUGAAUCAUUACAAAUGGGAAAGGCUAUGUCAAUGAACUUGCUUUGCCAUGGAUUUAAGCUCACUGUUUGGAAUUGCACUUUGUCUUGGGUAAAUUGUUUACUAUAUUCGUGUAUAUAAAGGAUUCUUGAUCUAUUUUCUCUGAUAAUAUUUGGGUGUUUUCAUAAAUAUACUUUAUCAGAUUCAUGAUAAUCUAGCAUGAAAAUUGGG